AGAAAACACCCAAAGCUUGCCACGGCAUCCAGGCUGCCUACUGCACCCCUCACUCAGCCUUCUUGGGCCACCAGGUGCCCAUUCCAUGCCAAGCUUUGUCUCCUCAACAAAGUUGCUCUGCUUGAGCCAGUGAAUUCUGUCUCCAGGAGGCUGUGUCAUGGCUUUGUCUUCUACAAGCUCAUGCCCUGGAGGGAAGGACAGAGUGACUCUGACAUGUCAGCCCAUUCAGUCAUUCAUUCCUCAACUCUAAUAAAUUUCCUGCUGAGUGUCAGGUACUGGACUGGAUUUGGGGAAUCUGGUGAUGAACACAUCAGAUGGGGCCGGGCGCAGUGGCUCACACCUGUAAUCCCAGCACUUUGGGAGGCCGAGGCAGGAAGAUCACUUGAAGCCAGAGUUCAGGACCAGCCUGGCCAACAUGCUGAAACCCCGUCUCCACUAAACAUAAAAAAAUUAGCCAAGUGUGGUGGCGUGUUUCUUUGUUUCUUUUUCACUCUUAAAACUUAGUUUCACUUUCUAUGUCCUGCACUACAGUUUCCUUGGGCUAACAAGUUGGGUCCAACUCCACGAUCUGGCACAUGAGACUCACCCAAUUU
ensembl:lncRNA novel transcript